CCUACGGGUAGCAGCAGUCGAGAAUCAUUCACAAUGGGGGAAACCCUGAUGGUGCGACGCCGCGUGGGGGAAUGAAGGUCUUCGGAUUGUAAACCCCUGUCAUGUGGGAGCAAAUUAAAAAGAUAGUACCCCAAGAGGAAGAGACGGCUAACUCUGUGCCAGCAGCCGCGGUAAUACAGAGGUCUCAAGCGUUGUUCGGAAUCACUGGGCGUAAAGCGUGCGUAGGCUGUUUCGUAAGUCGUGUGUGAAGGGCGCGGGCUCAACCCGCAGACGGCGCAUGAUACUGCGAGACUAGAGUAAUGGAGGGGGAACCGGAAUUCUCGGUGUAGCAGUGAAAUGCGUAGAUAUCGAGAGGAACACUCGGGGCGAAGGCGGGUUCCUGGACAUUAACUGACGCUGAGGCACGAAGGCCAGGGGCGCGAAAGGGAUUAGAUACCCGAGUAGUC
rnacentral:rRNA from 1 species